CCCUUUCAGGUGGACAGGACAAAUGCUAGGAGGGAUAGGGGGAAAUGAAAUGAGGUAGAUGAAGGAAGGGCAGCCCCCUCUAUUUGAAGAGAACGCAAAAGGCCAUCCAGCCUUAAAGCCCUGAGAUUAGAGGCAAUAUUUACUAAAGGCCGGUAGAUGCUCCUUUAACUUGAUGGCCGGGACGUGCUUCAAAGUCCCGAGUCUUGAAGUCCACAGGUUCCCCCACUCUCCCGCUCCUCACUUCACAGUUGGUUACCUCGCAGAUCGGGUGCCUUAUGUUCAGAAACCAUGUGAGUCACCGUGCUGAGACAUAAUACUACAGGUUCCCAAUGAAUACGGACAGAGGCCUGAAUGCGGAUCCACUGAUAUUAACCUCCACUUGGCAAACAUCAGGUGAGUCACUAGAACCAUUUUAUAUCUUUACUGUGGAAAGCCUUCAGCCCAGAAGGCUCAUUUGGAAGCUUUCUCUUCCCAGAGAAAGAAUCUCCUGCCAGACGCUCAGGAGCAGCAAUAAUAGGUAGUGGGUAUCUCAUUUCCAACUUCUUGCUUAUUGACCUGAUUUCUCACAACGAACAGGGGAGGAGGCUUCUACACAGGUUGGUAAAAGGUAAAAAACACCGAUAAAACAAACUGACAUUGGACAAAGCUUUUUAUUAUUAUGGAGAGAAUCUCUCAGUCUUUGCAGAGGGAUCAAACAUUUUCUGCCCUGUCCGGCUUUUCGAGCCUAUGUCAACACCACGGACUUUUCUUGGGUUUCUUUAUCCUAUCCCUUGUGAGUUCGUUCCCACAUAGCUACUAGAACUUUUAUCACCUCAUAGCAGAAAACAAAAACCAAAAAGUCAAAACCAAAAAAAAAUCUACAUCACCAACCAACAACUAACAACCCUUCCCCCUUCCAAACCCAAACAACUGUUCGAACAGUGGGAUUUUGAAGGAGAAAUAAAGCUUCUUGGGAUUUUGAAAAAGGCUUGCACAUUAUACCACACAAACUGUAAUACACAUAUGAGUCUUAAUUUCAGCUUGAUGUGUUUAUCGUUCAGCAUGGACACAGCUGCUUCCACAGUAACUUGUUCUCGAGUGAUCUGUGGAAAUGUCACCCUCACAAACAGGAUUUUAAAGUUUCUUAUAGAGACAUAGGAUUCAAAUGACGAGAUGUAGCAUCUCUCUGCCUCUACAAAUAUGUUUUAACUUGUUCUUUAAAUGCAUUUUCUAUUACCCCUUUCUUUGUUCUUCUCCCUCUCUCUUUUAUUUUAUUUUAUUUUAUUUUUUUUUUAUUUUUUUUUUUUUUAAACUCUGGCAACAGAAUUGAGUCAAAUCUUUGAAACAGACAAAACUCUGGAAUCAGCAGAGAGGAACAACAUAUGAAAAUAUGUCUUGAAGGAAAUAAAAUAUGUAAAAGCAC